CGCGCGGGCGGUCUCUUAAGUUAGAUGUGAAAGCUUUCAGCUUAACUGAGAGAAGCCAUUUAAUACUGGGGGGCUUGAGGGCAGCAGAGGAAGAUGGAAUUCCCGGUGUAGUGGUGAAAUGCGUAGAUAUCGGGAGGAACACCAGUGGCGAAGGCGGUCUUCUGGGCUGUACCUGACGCUGAGGCGCGAAAGCGUGGGGAGCAAACAGGAUUAGAUACCCUGGUAGUCCACGCCCUAAACAUUGGACACUGGAUAUGGGGGGUAUCGACCCCCUCCGUGUCGAAGCUAACGCUUUAAGUGUCCCGCCUGGGGACUACGGCCGCAAGGUUAAA
rnacentral:rRNA from 1 species